UCGAGAAUUUUUCACAAUGGGCGCAAGCCUGAUGGAGCGACGCCGCGUGGGGGAUGAAUGGCUUCGGCCCGUAAACCCCUGUCAUUUGCGAUCAAACCUUAUUAUUUAAAAGAUGAUGAGCUGAUAGUAGCGAAAGAGGAAGGGACGGCUAACUCUGUGCCAGCAGCCGCGGUAAUACAGAGGUCCCAAGCGUUGUUCGGAUUCACUGGGCGUAAAGGGUGCGUAGGUGGUGAGGUAAGUCGGAUGUGAAAUCUCGGAGCUCAACUCCGAAAUGGCAUUGGAAACUACCUUGCUCGAGGGUUGGAGGGGGGACUGGAAUACUUGGUGUAGCAGUGAAAUGCGUAGAUAUCAAGUGGAACACCAGUGGCGAAGGCGAGUCCCUGGACAACUCCUGACACUGAGGCACGAAAGCUAGGGGAGCAAACAGGAUUAGAUACCCCCGUAGUCC
rnacentral:rRNA from 1 species